UGAGGGAGUAGUAUUUACAUCUGGUGAUUGAUGCCCUUCUGGGGCACCUUCUGGAUUUCACCAGCAUUUAGAAAGUAGAAAGGAUAUGCAGGAAAUCAGUGGUCACAGCUGAAUAGGAAAGCUAAGAAGAAGAAGAAGGCAACAUUUAUGAGUGGCCAGAAGCUGCAAGAAAGCAAAGACAUUUCAAUUCUGGAUUUAACAGCUAGGACAAGUGCAAGAAAUUCCCUUCCUUGGAGCUAUGACUUACUGCCUACAAGCUAUUUCAGCUUUCAGCCAAGUAAAUGAAGAGUCAGAAGAAUCUGCAGAGGAAGUUGGAGGACAGACAAUGAUUUUGGAUACAUCAGGCUUGGGCUGGAGUGUGGAUCUGAGGCUGAAUUAUGUCCAGAUUUAAAGUUUAACAGCAAUGAUAUGAUGCGGAUUCUUAAUGUUUCUUCACAAGGAGAGAAUGUAAUUAGAAACCUUUUUCAACUGCCACAAUUCUGUCAUUUUUGAAGAGUGACCUUGCCACCACUUGCUUCUUCAGGACUCUUACUUUCAUUAGUAACAAAGCAAUGAGAAGAAUACCUGUCAGAGUAAGUGACUGGAUGCUCCAAUUUACACAUUCUUUUGGAUGUUGCUUGUCUACUAGAGAGGUUGUAUGAACUGUUGAUUGACACUUCAAUGCUUUUCCAGAAUGUAAACUUCUGUAAAUGGAUGUUAAAAUAAAACAGAUAUUAAUAUUUGAGUGAAACAAAUUGAAGUAUUGCAUGGCGCAUAAACCUCACAGAAUUGAUGUCAAUUCACUUGAAAUGGUGCUUUGUCCAUGAUGUUUGCUGUCUGAUUUUAUGAGUUGCUGAGGUGUGCAUUGAAGGGAACUUCUAAGAGAAAGAUUAUUUGAAUCCCCAGCCCAGGAGCUGCACCGAGGAUUAGUUGAAAUGAAGGAGGAAGAUCUUAACUACCUGGGAGUGUGAAUAUAUUAAAAUACACUGAUGUGAUCAUGUAUUCUUAAUGUGUCAGAUGUUGCAAUUGCAUAAUAACAUUUUUACUUCUGGAACAAAGACUACAUAAAAAUUUAGAGCCUUUUCUUUACCAUGCAAGAUAAUACAUAUGAAGUACAAUGAAUGUUAUCUACUUGUUAGGCUGCCUGAUAGAACCCUUGCUUAUGUGACGGUUUAGAUAAUUUGAAAAUUCCCUUUGGGCAGAAAUCAAGGAUAUUUUGUUUAUCACUUUUCUGCAGAAAGGAGCACUGGACCACUGAUAUAAUUAGGUUUUUAAUUAAAUUUUAUUGAAUUCAUGCUUAAAUUAUUUCAUAAAGAAAUAAGUAUGUAUUCUGCUGUUUUCUACUAUUUGUCUUCUUUCACUCAUAUUUUCAAGUCUUCAUCAGAAAGAUUGACUGUUCGGCAGCUGACAUGAUGAAAGAACCUACAGAUUGCUCUGGAAAUAAAUUAUGAACUGAGAUGGAUUAAUUCUUGGCAAUACUCAGCAAAUCAGUUAUACCUGUUUUUCUCUACCUGAAAAAUAAGGUUAAGCUGAAUUUAACUAUGUCACAAGAAUAUUGGGAAAAUUGAGCACACAUUCAUGUUCAGCAUCGUCUUCCUGCACUCUUCCUGAAAGAGGAGAAAUCCGACUGAGCUCCCUAUGGGAGGAAGAGCCUUUUCCCUUGUGCCAUGCACAGGUGGGCAGCACUCAGGGCCCUUGCUGUAACUGAGGACUAGUAGGUGCCAGUCCUCAUUUGAUCUUUCAAGACCAUUCUGAAAUCUGUCAGUUAAGACACUUCAACCUGCAAAGUCUGUGUUAUUAUUAUCAUUAUAUAUUGUGAAUGCAUUCUUCAGUUUUAAACAACCUGUUCCUGUGUAUCCCUUCCAGUUUUGGUUGCCUCUAAACUUCCUAAACACAUGGGAGCAAGUGAAUGUUCUAUCAGUGGUGCUGGUCCCACAAGUGUGAUGUAAAUAAAUCCCAGGUGUUUUGAUGUUACAUAUUUGACCGCACAGCUGCUAACACUUUUCUGUGAUGUGCAUCUUCAUAUUUGUAGGAGCUUCCUAUCUAUAAGAGGUAAGGGUGUUUUAUGUUCAUUUCAGACAUAACAUUUUUACACAGGAAAUAUCCAUGCUGUUCCUUUUCAUAAGAAUGUUAUGCCUGUUUUCUUGUUAUUUAUAAAUUUCUUUUAUCUUACCCCGUAAGAGUCACUGAGGAUAUGAAAAGAAAAUGACAGUUUUCUGUUUAUAGCAAACACAGCAUUAAUGUGCAUCUUUCUCUUCUGCAUUUUCCUUCUGAUCUUCCAGCAUGCAGAACAGUUUUCCUGCUAAUUCAUUUAAGGCUGCUCUGUCUGAACACCAGGUAGAAUAGGAAAAUGUGCAAGCGUAAAAAUGCAGAAGCAUUUCCUAUGCUAUGAUUUGGAGGGAUAAAGCAGGCAGUUUCAGAAUUGCAGAAGGGUUGCUUGCAUUUGUUGCAAUGUUAUAGUGGCUGAGCAGGGGGCUCAUGGGACCCUCUUG